UUUCUGUUUUUCUCUCUGCAUUAUUGGGAAGGGCCUGUAAUUAAGCAUUUCAUUGUUAGCCUACACCUGUUUACGAAGAAUGUGACGAAUCAUAUUAGAUUUUUUGACCCACUGGUUUAAUGUACCUCCAACACCAGCACCAGGUCCGUAACCAGCACCACUACCAGGUAAACCACCUCCGGGUCUGUAUCCACCACCAGGCACUCCACCAGCACCAAGCCCAGCUCCAGGUCCGUAACCAGCACCACUACCAGGUAAACCACCUCCGGGUCUGUGUCCACCACCAGGCACUCCACCAACUCCUCCACCUGGUCCAUAGCCAGCUCCACCAUGUCCUUCCCCGGCACCACCUGGUCCAACCCCUCCACCUGUUCCAUAACUUCCAGCACUACCUGGUCCAUAGCCACCAGGUCCAGCUCCACCUGGUCCAUAGCCGGCCCCACCUGGUCCAUAACUGGCCCCACCUGGUCCAACUCCACCUCCAGGACCGAAGCUACCGCCAGGCCUGUAACCGCCUCCUGGUUCCCCUCCAGCCCCACCAGGCAGUCUUCCGGUUCCAAUCCCAGAUGCAGGCACUCCCUGGCUGAGCCCACCACCAGCUCCAGUGCCUGCUCCACCCUGACCUGGAGAAAGGGAGGCAAUGGUCUUGUAUGAAGAGUGCUUAUACCUCAACAAUUAGAG
ensembl:lncRNA